rnacentral:tRNA from 3 species
GCGCCCGUAGCUCAGCCGGAUAGAGCAACGGAUUUCUAAUCCGUCGGUCGGGUGUUCGAGUCACCCCGGGCGCG